ACGCGCGGCUAGCUGCAUACCCCUGGCGUCCUGUUUCUUCGCCUCUCUGGUCCUCAAUCUCCUCAUCUACAAAAUGGGGGUAAUAAUAACGAUAAUGGCACAUAGUUGUUGCCGGGCACUGUUGUAAAGUCCUCUACGAUGUAAAGCCCUCUGCAAGCGCUUAUUCUACUACAACACUUUGAAAUAGAUGCUGUUACUAUAAUAAUGUAAUUAUCUUGUUAGUAUUCUAAAGUAUUAGUAUUUGUAAGUAUUCUAUUAGUAGAUGAAUACUCUCUUUGCACAGCACAGAUGCUCUGGCUGUGGAAAGCCUGGCCCAGCCUCCUUCCAGGUAAGUGAAAUGUACACUAUUAUUUUCACUUUAUUUUUAAAUUUUUUUAAUAUUUAUUUAUUUAUUUUGUCUUUGUAGGGCCACGCCCACAGUAUAUGGAGGUUCCCAGGCUAGGGGUCAAAUCAGAGCUGUAGCUGCCAGCCUACACCACAGCCACAGCAAUACCAGAUCUGAGCCACAUCUGCGAUCUACACCACCGCUCUCAGCAACGCCGGAUCCUUAACCCACUGAGUGAGACCAGGCAUCGAACCCACAACCUCAUGAUUCCCAGUCAGAUUCAUUUCCGCUGAGCCACGACAGGAACUCCAAGGGGCUGCUUCUUUUUAAAAUGCAAAUAUUUUUAAAAAAUGCAAAUAUUGCUGUUGCUUCUAGGCAACCCCCUUUCACCUGCCCCACCGUGUUACUUUCCAUCUACUGCCUCUUGGGAAAGGAAGAAACAUUCUCAUUCUUCGUAGUAGUGACAGGGAUGGAGCAGGAUAGUUACACAGGUAGUUGUAGAAGUCCCAAUAGGGGACCAUAGAAAGAGAAGGAAACCUAGGGAACUUUGGGAGAUCACUGUAAGUUAAUAAUCACUUAAGAAAGCCAUCAGAAUGAUGCAGGCUUACCACAAUAAAAAGCACGAGAUAUGCCUUGGAUCAUUAUCCUUAGGACCAAGGGCAGGAGUUUAAGGACCACUCUUUGGUUGAUUUGAAUAGUUUGACCACAUAGGGUCAAAUGCUCUGUUAUCGGAUGCAAAGGAGGAAAAGGAGGAAGAGGUGGUCUUGUCCCACUCCCCACUUGCCUUGGAUUAGGAAAAUGUAGCCCACCUAAUUCUCAGGGCAGCCUCCUUGCCUUUCCGCUUGCAUCACUCACAAGCAUCCUAUCUUAAUAAAUCUAUUUCGUACCCAUCACUUUGUCUCUCACUGAAUUCCUUCUGCACUGAGGCACAAAGAACCUGACCUUCUGUAAAUCCAGAUAGCAGGCGAGUGAUUCUAAUUUAAAAAACGUGGGUUCAAGUCCCAACCUGUGUUCAAGUCCUAAGUGUCAUCAGCUUCAGUAGGUGCAAAAGGUUUGUCAAAGAUGGUUUGGCAGGUAGCCACGGAGUGCUCCUGUUGUCCUGUGGACACACAGGUGGCACCGAGGAACUGCUCCCUCAGCCUGGAAGGCUCUUCUAUUACCUGCGUGGCUCCCUCCCUCACCUUCAGUUUUUCCUCAAGUCGUCUUCCUUGUGGGGCCUUCCCUGAGCACCAAAUUUCAAUUACACCCUGACAACAGUCCUGAUUCCUUUUCCCUGUUUCAUUCUUUCCAUAGCACUUACCACUAUCCUAUACUCUUGAUUAUGUUUACAUUGUUUAUUGUCUGUUCUGUCCCACUAGAGCUCGAGAUCCUUGCGGGUAGAGAUUGCUCCGUUUUCUUCCUUCCUGUAUCCCCCAGGGCCUGGGGCGGGGAGGAAGGAAGGGAAGAGGAGGGAGGGGUCACUUUCCCAGCCCUGCCAACCCACUGUGACCAUGGCCCCUCGAAGGAACACAAACUUAUUGCGAUUUGGUGUCAUGUAUCUCCUUGGUAACAUCUCUUGCAGGAUCAUCCCAUUCUGCUGCUUGACUUUGCAGUUGGGUAGCUCAUUACCUGAGCAGGAGGUGAAAGGGGAUCUGAAUUUUUGAUGCUGUCUCCAACACCAAGAACAGAGUGGGAUUUCUACAGGUCCGAGGGUUCUUUUGAUUUCAGAAAGAAAAAUUUCUCCCUUACCUCCCUUCCUUCCCCCAAGUGUGCUCUUCUCCUCAAAGCACUCACCGCCCCCACUCCCACCCAGUUCAGCUCAUUAUUAGACUUAACUGUUUAAGUGUGAUUUUUUUAAAGUUUGAUAUUAAAUGUUUUUAACCAAAUACAUUUAUAGCAUUUUUGACAAAUAACAUUUAAUAUUUGUUAAGGGGGUCAGUAUGUGUGGUCCUAAAAAAGAAAAUAAAAUAAAAAAUAAAAUUAAAAUUAAAAAAUGACCUAAGUGAGAAAGAAAGGAGGGAGGGAAUGAGUUGCACUCUCGGGAGGUGAACGCAGCCUGCUGCCUCCUUUGGCAGUCACCCACCUCAGCCUAGCCCUCAAGAAUAAGGGGAAUGCAGAGCUAGGGAUAGCCCUUAGUUUUUCAGCAUCACAAAUGAUCAUAGCAAACACUGAAUUAGUCCUUGCUCUCUCCCUGCAUUUCCCCAGGGUUGGCUAUGAUCUGAGUUGACUCAGGGGAAGUGGGAGGGACUGCUUGAAAAAGACUGUCUAAUGAAUAUAUAAUUUUUAUUAUCUACAGAAA
ensembl:lncRNA